CUUCAGGCUCUUAAGAGCCACCUCAUAUUAACAUAAGGGAAUCG
rfam:Bombyx mori DNA, contig: Bm_scaf5_contig4646, strain: p50T/Dazao, build 2, whole genome shotgun sequence.